ACCUGGGUGGCUCAUUCGGCUGAGUGUCUGACUUCGGCUCAGGUCAGGAUCUCACAGUUUGUGGGUUCAAGCCCCACACUGGGCU
rnacentral:tRNA from 1 species